GAUUAUGGCUCAGGAUGAACGCUGGCGGCGUGCCUAACACAUGCAAGUCGAGCGAAGCACUUUGCUUAGAUUCUUCGGAUGAAGAGGAUUGUGACUGAGCGGCGGACGGGUGAAGGUAACGCGUGGGUAACCUGCCUCGUACAGGGGGAUAACAGUUAGAAAUGACUGCUAAUACCGCAUAAGACCACAGCACCGCAUGGUGCGGGGGUAAAAACUCCGGUGGUAUGAGAUGGACCCGCGU
rnacentral:rRNA from 1 species